rnacentral:tRNA from 1 species
GGCUGGUUGGCUCAGUCAGUAGAGCAUAUGACUCUUGAUCUCAGCAUUGUGAGUUCAAGGCCCACAUUGGCCA